CCUACGGGAGGCAGCAGUGGGGAAUAUUGCACAAUGGGGGAAACCCUGAUGCAGCAACGCCGCGUGAAGGAAGACGGUUUUCGGAUUGUAAACUUCUGUUCUUAGUGAAGAAAAAUGACGGUAGAUAAGGAGGAAGCCCCGGCUAACUACGUGCCAGCAGCCGCGGUAAUACGUAGGGGGCGAGCGUUGUCCGGAAUCACUGGGCGUAAAGGGCGCGGAGGCGGUUUAAUAAGUCAGUGGUGAAAACUGAGGGCUCAACCCUCAGCCUGCCACUGAUACUGUUAGACUUGAGGAUGGAAGAGGAG
rnacentral:rRNA from 1 species